UACGUAGGGUGCAAGCGUUAAUCGGAAUUACUGGGCGUAAAGCGUGCGUAGACGGUUAUUUAAGUCGGGUGUGAAAGCCCCGGGCUCAACCUGGGAAUGCCAUUCGAGACUGCAUAGCUAGGGUGCGGAAGAGGGAAGCGGAAUUUCCGGUGUAGCGGUGAAAUGCGUAGAUAUCGGGAGGAACACCAGCGGCG
rnacentral:rRNA from 1 species